GUCAAGUCUCUCCGUUAUCAACCUCACGCUGCCAUCUCCUUCCCCAAACUGCCGCAAUUCAAACCCAGAAAAGAAAAGCCACACUCCCAUCCCACCACCACAAUCUCCAAAUUCCGGCGAACAGAUAACUCUGCACUAAAAAAGGACUGUUCUACUAAAUCCUCUCCCAAAUUCCAAUGAAACCGAUGGCGAACGCGAGCGCGACUUCAAAGCCUUCAGCUCCCUUUAAUUCUUCGCCUUCUCCAUGAUUUCUUCUUUGAACGCUCGAAUGUCUGCAACCGCAAGCGAUUUAUCCAAGGAUUUGCAGCAAUCCGUUCAUCAUUUUCAGGUGGGUCACCGCCGCGAUGCCUGAUUCAAGAGAUGUUCAGGUUCGAAAACGGUGCUCUCGCUGUAUCAAUUUCAUCGAUUUUGUCCCCAAUCUAGUUAAUUUGUUUAAUUUGUGAUUGAAUGAUUGAGUUCGGAAUCAUUACCCUCUGCAAAUUUGUAAAUUUAUUUUAUAUAUUACAUUCGCACUCUUGUAAACCACGGAGAAGCCACUCGGAGGUGGUUCAACAGGUGAAUUAUGCAGAUCGAUCGAGAAAGCUCCCGUUUGGAUUUUCAUAUAAUUGUUUAAUCAAUCUUUAUUUUUGUUUUUGUGUUUUUUGAUCAUCUAAAAAAUGUUGCUGAUGUUUGUUUGGAUUGUUGGUUUGUGAAUUUUUGAAGGAAAAUUGGCUGAUGUUGUUCUUAGAUUUGUCUUUGUGGAGCCCUAUGUCGUAAAGAUCUUUGAUUUUUGGAUCUUUACUCUUUAUUAAACCCUGGUUUUUUUCUCAAAUAACACUAAAAUAUGAUAAAAGCUUGAUCCAUCUCACCCGCAGCUCAGCCAUUUAUCCCAACUUCACACACAAAAUGCAGCUCCUUAUGCUUUGUAGUGAGUCAUAACUCACUCUCUCACGCUACCUUCUUAUCUGCCUCUCUCUACACCACUUCCGCCAACUCAGCUCUCGUUUCUUAUUUCUCCCUUUCUUCUCCCAGCUGACCACCACUAUGGCGGACAAUGAAAAUCAAAACCCUCCUUCAAAUUCACCUCCAAAUCCGCAAACACACCUGACCAUCCUCUUGGCCUUAGCUACCAUUCUGUUUCCCCUUGGAGUGGAUCCAACCUACUUUGUCAAACCUCCCUCCGUCGAUCUGUCUAGUUGUCGAUCUGUCUACAUUUUCUCUGUCGUGACCACGGCAGCGCUGUUUGUUGUUUGGUUCGGACUUUUUGUUCUCUCCGCCCAACUUCUACACCGCUUUGUUAUCUGGGUAGGGCUUGGCCUAGUGUGGGCUACCUACUAGCUUGCGUUGCAUGGCAUCCUCGCACCCCAAUUUUAUAAUCCAAUGCUUUAUUCCUUCAAUCCUCUUAUGGUGGUCCUAUUGUCGCUUAACCUAAGAUUUCGAAACGUCCGAGACCGCGCUAUCCAUGUCCUAUCUUACAACUGGAUCCGCAUGAUCCACGUCAUAUCUCACAACUGGGACCGCACGACUCAUGUCAUAGCUAACAUCUGUGUUUUGUUUUGGAACCAUGUCACAAAAACUAUUAAAAUUUGGGUAUUUAAAGUCUCUUCAUACUUUUUUGCUUUUUUCUUAUAAUUUUUUUUUCUCAGAAUUACCAUUUCUUGAUUUAUGUGUGUUGGGACAUAUUAAGCUUUUUAGGCUUUAACUCAAUAGUUAGUUUAAAACCCAAGUGAUUGGUGCUUUCUUCUUAUAGUUACUUUAUAGAAAAAUCGUUUUAAUUAAUUCAUGUUUAUAUUUUUUGAGAGUAUAUUUCUGGCCUCAAAAUUAUUAAUACAGAUAUUUUACGUGUAUACACAUUUAAAAAAAAAAAAACUCUCAAAUAACACCUAUACACCACACGUGUUCCAUAUUUUACUAAACUAUGAUUUGCGUAUAUAUAAUAUUUGAGUUGUUGAUGUUGCUCAAAUACAAAAUACACUAAAAAAUUACAAAUGUGACAAUUGGCAACAAAAAAUUAGGCAAACUACAACUAAACCAAUGUUUGUUAAGUUGCUUAUAUCUUUUGUUUUUUGUCUGAGUAUCUUAUUAAUAAUUAUUUUUAAUUAUUUUCACUUCCAUUGUUAUUUUCAGAUCAGUAGAACGAUGGGGAGAGAGAGAGCUAGUUAUCAGCAAAAUGCAUGGUCCAUUCCUCUUCUUUUGAAUGUAUUAGAGCAAUAGUCGUCUUUUCCUACUAGUUACGUUUUUAUAUUCGUAUCUCUCCAUGCAACACUUGUCAUAUUUAUUCAGGGCGUGUAAUUUUAAUAAUUUGGAUCUCUCCAUGUAAGACUUGUUAUAUUUAUUCAAUGG
rnacentral:lncRNA from 1 species